rnacentral:rRNA from 1 species
GAUGAACGCUGGCGGCGUGCCUAAUACAUGCAAGUCGAGCGAACGGACGAGAAGCUUGCUUCUCUGAUGUUAGCGGCGGACGGGUGAGUAACACGUGGAUAACCUACCUAUAAGACUGGGAUAACUUCGGGAAACCGGAGCUAAUACCGGAUAAUAUUUUGAACCGCAUGGUUCAAAAGUGAAAGACGGUCUUGCUGUCACUUAUAGAUGGAUCCGCGCUGCAUUAGCUAGUUGGUAAGGUAACGGCUUACCAAGGCAACGAUGCAUAGCCGACCUGAAAGCGAGAUCGGCCACACUGGAACUGAGACACGGUCCAGACUCCGACGGGAGGCAGCAGUAGGGAAUCUUCCGCAAUGGGGGAAAGCCUGACGGAGCAACGCCGCGUGAGUGAUGAAGGUCCUCGGAUCGUAAAACUCUGUUAUUAGUGAAGAACAUAUGUGUAAGUAACUGUGCACAUCUUGACGGUACCUAAUCAGAAAGCCACGGCUAACUACGUG